ACCCUUUUAGUUCUUUUUAGUUGGAACUUUAGGCGGUUCUCGAAAAAAGAUAGCGAAAAAAAUUAUCCCUAGAGUCGAGACUAAGAGGAAUGUAUAAACCAAUGCUUCCAUAGAUUCGAUCGUGGUUUACAAUUAUAGCUUUCAUACCUGUUUGUUUCUUUUUAUUUCCUUUUUUUAUCAUCUUCCAGAUAAAGAACGAACAAGAGUAAAAACGAAGUUGAUUCAAAUAAAGAUUUCUCUGGUACCCUAUGUCAAUAAAAGUAAAAGAAAGAAAAUAAGGGCGAAAGAAAGAUACCAAAGCAAUGUUGUAUCAGGCUGCCUGUCUUUUUGUAGUUGGAUCUCCAAGUUUUUGGAAUGCUCCAAAUUCGACUUGAGCAUCUAAAUCUGGGUCAAUACCAGCAAAAACAUCUCUGAACAAGGUUCUAGCACCAUGCCAAAUGUGUCCGAAGAAGAAGAGCAAAGCAAACGAAGCAUGCCCAAAAGUAAACCAACCCCUUGGACUGCUACGAAAAACACCAUCGGAUUUCAAAGUAGCACGAUCUAAUUAAAAAAAUUCACCCAAUUGAGCA
rnacentral:lncRNA from 1 species